GACGAACGCUGGCGGCGUGCCUAACACAUGCAAGUAGAACGCAGUUGCGAACGCGUGAGUAUCGCGUAGGUAACUGCCCCAUAGCGGGGGCUAACCAAUGGAAACGAUAGUUCAUAUCCCACACUGUGAGCUGUACCUGCGUUGUAUUAGGUAGUGGGUGGGGGAAAGGCCCACCAAGGCGACGAUCCAGAGCCGAGCUGAGAGGAGGAACGGCCACAAGGGGACGGAGACACGGCCCAGACUCCUACGGGAGGCAGCAGUAGGGAAUCUUCGGCAAUGGACGGAAGUCUGACCGAGCAACGGCGCGUGAGUGAGGAAGGUUUUCGGGUCGUAAAGCUCUGUUGAUAGGGAAGCGGUAACGAAACAGAAAGGGACGGCUAACUACGUGCCAGCAGCCGCGGUAAUAC
rnacentral:rRNA from 1 species